rnacentral:rRNA from 1 species
AUACGGAGGGUGCAAGCGUUGUUCGGAAUUAUUGGGCGUAAAGCGCGCGCAGGCGGCUUGCCAAGUCUGAUGUGAAAGCCCGGGGCUCAACCUCGGAACUGCAUUGGAAACUGGUAGGCUUGAGUAUGAGAGGGGUUUGUGGAAUUCCUGGUGUAGGGGUGAAAUCCGUAGAUAUCAGGAGGAACACCGGUGGCGAAGGCGACAAACUGGAUCAUUACUGACGCUGAGGUGCGAAAGCGUGGGGAGCAAACAGGAUUAGAAACCCUUGUAGUCC